UACGUAGGGACCAAGCGUUGUUCGGAUUUACUGGGCGUAAAGGGCGCGUAGGCGGGUGAGCAAGUCCGGGGUGAAAUCUUUCGGCUUAACCGGAAAAGUGCCUUGGAUACUGCUCGUCUGGAGGAAGGUAGGGGCAGGUGGAACUUCUGGUGGAGCGGUGAAAUGCGCAGAUAUCAGGAGGAACACCGGUGGCGAAGGCGGGUCUCUGGGCCGAUACUGACGCUGAGGAGCGAAAGCGUGGGGAGCGAACAGG
rnacentral:rRNA from 1 species